rnacentral:rRNA from 1 species
AGACUGCCGGUAAAAGCCGGAGGAAGGUGAGGAUGAUGUCAAGUCAGCAUGACCUUUAUAUCCAGGGCUACACACACGCUACAAUGGUCUGUACAAUGGGUAGCCAAGCCGCGAGGCGGAGCCAAUCCUGAAAGCAAGGCCUCAGUUCAGAUUGCAGUCUGCAACUCGACUGCAUGAAGCCGGAGUUGCUAGUAACCGCAGGUCAGCAAUACUGCGGUGAAUUACCGGUUCCCGGGUCUU